GACGAACGCUGGCGGCGUGCCUAAUACAUGCAAGUCGACCUUAGUGGCGGACGGGUGAGUAAUGCCUAGGAAUCUGCCUGGUAGUGGGGGAUAACGUCCGGCAACGGGCGCUAAUACCGCAUACUAUCAGAUGAGCCUAGGUCGGAUUAGCGAGUUGGCGGGGUAAAGGCCUACCAAGGCGGCGAUCCGUAACUGGUCUGAGAGGUUGAUAAGUCAGACUGGAACAUAGACACGGGCCAGGCUCCUACGGGAGGCAGCAGUGGGGAAUAUUGGACAAUGGGCGAAAGCCUGAUCCAGCCAUGCCGCGUGUGUGAAGAAGGUCUUCAGAUUUUAAAGCACUUUAAGUUGGGAGGCGUUACCAACAGAAUGAGCACCGGCUAACUUCGUGCCAGCAGCCGCGGUAAUUC
rnacentral:rRNA from 1 species